CCGAGUUUACAACUCCCAAACCCAAUGUGAACGUUACCAAACUGUUGCCUCGGCGGGAUCUCUGCCCCGGGUGCGUCGCAGCCCCGGACCAAGGCGCCCGCCGGAGGACCAACCAAAACUCUUAUUGUAUACCCCCUCGCGGGUUUUUUACUAUCUGAGCCAUCUCGGCGCCCCUCGUGGGCGUUUCGAAAAUGAAUCAAAACUUUCAACAACGGAUCUCUUGGUUCUGGCAUCGAUGAAGAACGCAGCGAAAUGCGAUAAGUAAUGUGAAUUGCAGAAUUCAGUGAAUCAUCGAAUCUUUGAACGCACAUUGCGCCCGCCAGUAUUCUGGCGGGCAUGCCUGUCCGAGCGUCAUUUCAACCCUCGAACCCCUCCGGGGGGUCGGCGUUGGGGAUCGGCCCUUUACGGGGCCGGCCCCGAAAUACAGUGGCGGUCUCGCCGCAGCCUCUCCUGCGCAGUAGUUUGCACACUCGCAUCGGGAGCGCGGCGCGUCCACAGCCGUUAAACACCCCAAACUUCUGAAAUGUUGACCUCGGAUCAGGUAGGAAUACCCGCUGAACUAAGCAUAUCAA
rnacentral:rRNA from 1 species